rnacentral:lncRNA from 1 species
CCUCACUUUAAGUAGUGAUUUAUAUUCGCAUGAAAUGUCAUUUCAAAUCCUCCAAUUCGGAGUGGACUAGAUUUUAAGUCCUCGCAUUUUGAUCCAGUCCUCAGCUUCGCCUCGGACUUGCGCGGACUUGAAAUCUGGUCCAGUCCUCAUAGUCGGAUUUGAAAUAUUACUACCAACACGAGAUGUUACUUUCUGUAAACUCUCAGGGAAAACAAUGUAGACACAAAAGUUGGUUUAGAUUGCUUUUUUAUUGAUCAUAACAUUACAUUAAUACAUAUAGCACAAGUCAGUCACUUAAUCACAGUUUCACUUAAUCUUAGGGACCGGUCAAUAUUUAUGGCACCGAAGAGAAAAGGGUUGGGUAAACAAAAUUUUGAGUGAGUAAAAGGUUGGGUAAAUGAAAAACAAAACAACUCAGGGGUUGGGUAAUAAAAAAUUAUUGUCAUUUCCAAAGCAUGAUUCACUGAAAUAUUGGAGACUAAAAAGCAAUGUCAACAGUAGUCAGUCAUAUGUCAAUACAAUAUCGUAUGUGAAUCAAUCAGAGUCACUAUCUCUUGAUCAUUUUCCGAUUUGUUGGGAGACAAAUGGUACCUCCAAAGAAAGUACAUGUGCAGACAACAUGAAACUGCAGAAAAUUUUACAAUCCGUUAUCAAACUCGUGUGACAGAACGUCACACUAUUGUAAAGUUUUUGGCCAGGGGUGGGUAUUUAUUUUUAAAUUGAUGCUUGAGGUUGGGUAAUCAAAUUUUUGACUUUUUAAUGGUUGGGUCAGCAAAAUUUUUGCCACGAAAAACAUUUCUCUUCGGUGCCACCCCCCCCCCCCCCCCCCCCACCAUAAAUAAUGACCGGUCCCUUAUUCAAUUAAUUUUACUGUAUUAGCGAGCUGUGUAAUAACAUUAAAUAGGAUUAGUGUCACACCAUGGCAUAGCGGGCUUUUGUUAUGUUUUGAUCUUACCCAAAAUCAACAAAUAACGAUAAAAAAAUACCUUGUUUAGUACAUUUCCAGCAAGAAUUGUGGAAGUAUGGUUUUAAGGCCCAUUUCAACUCAGGAAAAUUUUCCGCAGAAAGAAAAUUUUGUAAAAUGUGAUUUUGUAAAAAUUUUCUGGCGGAAAAAAUUGAAGUUGAAAAUUUUCAACUUUUAACAAUGAUAUUUUCGGAAAAUUUUCCGUCCGUAGAAAUUUUUCUUGAGUGGAAAUGGGCCGGAUUACAAAGAACUUUUCCAGAUCUAUUGAUCUCCUCGGCCCAUAAAAUGGCCGCCAGCAGGACUUUGAGAGUCCGCAAUUCUAUGGCAUGAGAUUAAUCCUUCAAAUAAUCAUGUAUGUAUAACACAAUAAGAUUGAAUAAAUUCAAUUCAUCUAUAAUAUUCAGCUAUAAAUUCAAUAAAAGACAACUUUAUAAUAUAACGAGAAGAAAAUCGAUAAUAAAGAUAAAGUCAAUGUUAACGGCCGCAUACCAUUCCCUGCCGCAAUCCACCUGGGCAUACUGGAAUUGUGGUACAUUUCGUUUUCUUGAUUAUGGAGUACACCCACCAUAUUUCUUAUUUACAUAUUCCGGACAGCUAUAGCAUUUCAUCCAGUAGUAAUACUCAUCUGACCUACAUGUAUUGCGACGAUUUUCUAUUUCAUGUGAACGUUUCAGGUAACUUCCCAAAUCCUCGUCAUAACCAGCUCUCUUCAGGAAGGAAUUUUCGUUGUUGUAUUCGUCUUCUCCGCAAAGGAUUUCGUUUCUUUCCGCAGCCUCGUAGCGUUUCGCCAUAUUCAUCUCUUCAUCACCAAGAUGGGGGCCAAAUCUUCCUUGAAUUUCAUCUCUUUUUGCCAUAUUCAUUUCUUCGUCGCCAAGAAUCUUGGUUCGUUUCGCUCUCAACAGCCGACUUGCCCAAUUCGUAUUUUCGCUGUCACCAUAAGGCGGGCCAAAUCUUCCUUGUGGGAUAGAUUGAAUUUGUUGACAAUAUAGUGAGAAAAACAGCGCGACAGUCAACAUUCCGACCAUUUUUAAUUAUACGACUUACUAUACUUCAACGUGAUACUAUAACUUAUUCUCAG